GACCUGAGCCAAAAUCGAGAGUCAGAGGCUUAACCAACUGAGCCACCCAGGCAUCCCCUAUUAUUGUUUUUAGACGGAAUCUUGGUCAACUCAUACUAUGCACAUCCCUUCAUAGUGAAUAAGAUGAUUUUAGGUGGUUCACAGGUAAACGUUUUAGUUUCAUUCUUGCUGAUGGUCAGCUCCCAGAAGAUCAUCAGAACGAAACUGAGCAAGCAAAGCUGUUUAUUAGACUUAUUCCAAGAAAGGAGAGCACUCCACUGGCAGUUUUAGUUACAUAUCAGGAGGCAGAGCUGAAGGAAGAAAACUUACAGGUUUUGAGGUCUGGGCUCAAGCGGAUAAAGGUGGGUCUCUCAAGGCAGAGAAUGGACCGGAACCAGGUUCAGGAUGAGAGGACACAGCCAGGUGAGGAUCUGCAGGGGUAAACUGCUAUCUGAUGUUUUCUCAGGUGGGUGCACUGUUUGCCUGAAUAAAGUCAUUUGCAGAAAUUUCGUGAAGCAAACAGCAAAGUUAUUUAUGGGUGUACAAUUUAAUUUCCUGGGCAAGGAUUCCCUGGAGCAAAUGUUUGUGUUCGGUUGACACAGAUGAACUCAGGUCUCAUAAUUAUGUGUUUAGUUAAUGGGUAGUUGAUAAUAUAUAAUUGGCAUCUCAAACCACUAAUCUGGAAAGUGGUAUUAUUUAGGACAACAGAGAAGUAAAUUAAAUUUAAAGAUAAAAACUGAGCUGAUCAAAGAAAAGUAAUAGUUUAGGUGAUACUAAACCAUGACAAAAAUAAUGAGUACAGUAUAUGAACAACUGAGGUGUGAAAAACACUAUUUAAUACUAGGAGAAUGUCUUGGUGGAAUCUAGACUGGAGGAGAAUCCUCUUAUGGGGAAGGCGUGUAUCCCACAACUGAAUCAUCAGAGAGAGCCAGGGGUGAUGAGUGGGAUUGGCAGAGCUGGUCAUGUGGGCUGAAAAGGGCCCCAGUGCCCCCUGGGUUUAGUGUCCUCUCUGUUGUGCAAAUGAGCUGAGAUCUGAAAAAGUCCCUCUGGAAACUCUGACUUACUGGUGGGUCUACUUAGGGUUUGAGCUUUCAAACAGGAAGUUGCAGCUGCUGUUGGAAGAUCCUAUGCAAGGCAGAUGGAUUACCCAUUAGUGGCACCUGCCAUUGUGGUCACCCAGAUGCCAACUGCACAAUGUAGCAAAGAGGCACUGAGACUCAAAGAAGGGGAAACCAACCAGAAUGCCCCAGUGAUGGAUAUUUUGAACAAACUGAAAAGGAGAGAAGGAAGAGGCAAGUGCUCAUCAGUGACUGAAUCAUCCUGAGACCUAACUCUGAGGAACUUCAUCCAGCGUUCUACUCAAACCAAAGUAGGUCGGGCUCGCCCUAUAGGAAAACCAAGGGAACUGGGAAGGAGCCAUUCUGAAAGCAACCCUAUUACCUUCCUCAAAGACAAGAAUCAAAUACUGCCAGUAUUCUGCAAAUCAACCAUUCCUAAUGAUUUUUUUGGAUGGCUGCAAUUUUGCUCACCGCUGUUACCCUCUGUCAGCUUCCCUGACCAGCGUUGCAUGGUGGUUGGAAUUUGGUUUUAGUAACAUCAGGCUCCCAGGCACCUUUACCAUCAAGAGGUGACCUAAAAAAUUAAUGAUUCAAAAAAUGAAACAAAGCAAACAGCAGGCAAAGAAGUGCCUUACUAGCACCAAAGAAGUGGAAGACUAACCAAGAUGUGGACAUUUCAACGUGUACUAUUAUUGCUUAGGAAAUGAACAGCUAGAAAAGGAAAAUGUCAGCAGAGUUUUUUUUUUCCAGCAAGCUGAGAUCCUGAGAAUGUACAGAAGACUAGAGAGCAGCCUCCCUCCUUGGGCAGCCAUGAGGCUUAUGUUUUUACUGUUUGGUGAUGUGAGUUGAAAGAAGAAAUAUCAAUAACACAUGAAAUCUGAAAAAUAUAAUAAAACUUUUCCCCCCA